UGCCAGCAGCCGCGGUAAUACGGAGGAUCCAAGCGUUAUCCGGAAUCAUUGGGUUUAAAGGGUCCGUAGGCGGUUUAAUAAGUCAGUGGUGAAAGCCCAUCGCUCAACGGUGGAACGGCCAUUGAUACUGUUAAACUUGAAUUAUUAGGAAGUAACUAGAAUAUGUAGUGUAGCGGUGAAAUGCUUAGAGAUUACAUGGAAUACCAAUUGCGAAGGCAGGUUACUACUAAUGGAUUGACGCUGAUGGACGAAAGCGUGGGUAGCGAACAGGAUUAGAUACCCUGGUAGUCCAAGGGCGAAUUC
rnacentral:rRNA from 1 species